AAGUCAAAUCUCUACAAUGAAAUCCAUCUAUCCUAUACAGAUAGUUAAAUGAAACAUAGAGAGUAAUAGAAAGAAAGAGACAAAAAGUAUAAAGAAAAGAGCCAGGAUUAUAGGGAUAGUGGAGAAAGAAUCAAUGUAAACCUUUGGCCAAAUUCAAAGGCGAGUUAACAGUGUCUACACAUACUGGAUCGACCAUUCACAAAGUGAAAGCCUUGGCACAUAAAAGUCGUUUCGAUCAAUUCAACUUAGGCUAUUGCCACGGUGCUCAGAAUGACAAUACGUGUGGAUUUUCUCGCGAACUUGCGCACACAUUUACGGUAUUCGACGUGUAUACAUAUAGGUAUUCUUGGAGUUUUCGCAAACUCAAUUAUUCCUCCACGGCCGAUAAAAUCUUCAAUUACUCCAGACAACGAACUAUUUUGGUACUUUGAUCUCGAGCGAAAGAAACGAAAAAAGGAAACAAGAUUUUUAAACAAUUCUUCAAAAGUGAAUUCUUGAUUGAAAGGAAUGGUGGCAAAAUUUAAAUUUAAGUAUUAAAUAUUUUAAAAUAUAUGUUUAUAUGUACGUAUGUUUAUAUAAUUAUUAAAAAUAUGCAGGUAUCAUGUUGAAAAAAUUAAUUUUGACUUUGUACAACAAUUCUUUGGACUUCAAAGAAAGAAUGAAGAAAACAAGAAUAAAACUCAAAGAAACCAUCAUAUAAAUAAAAUUCAAUUUAACAAGACAUACAAUUGAACGUAAUGCACGGAUAUACAAUGAAAUUUCUAUAUCAAAUUUAUUUUCGUAGAAAAAAAAGAGAAAGAGAGAAAAUAUAUAAAAUAUAUAUAAAAUAGAAAAAAAGUGAUAUCUGUGCGAAAAUAUAAUGAGCUCACCCGAAUUCCGCCGAAUCGAAAUCUUCUACUUCGUCGUACCAUGAUUGAAUAUGAAAGCGAAUCCUUGCUAUGGAUGACAGGUUUCCCAUGUUAUCUAUCUCGAAAAUGUGCACAUUCUGCCAUACUCCAAAUCCUGCAAAAAAUAUGAUAUCUAGAAUGAUUAUAAUAUCUCGCAAAUUAAUUAAAAAUAUUUGCAGUGAUAAUAACAAUAAUGUAAUAACUAAUGUAAACAUUUAUGAAGUUAAAGUUAUUAUAUACAUUUAAAUUAUCACAUUUAUUCUACAUGUUUGUACAAAGAUCAUUGGUUCUAUAUCUAUUAAUGAAGACAAAUAAUUAUAGAAGAUUUUAAUACAAUUUUAAUUGAUUCUAUGAUUUCAAUUUUUGUUUUUAAUUUUUGUUUUAAAUUUAUCCAAUUUCUAGGAUCUAACCUAGAAAUCAAUUCCACUCAAUAAACAUAGAUUUAAUUUGGAAUCCAAUUGUAUUUAACGAAACAAGGAAAUCAACUUCGAAAUUAUACCCAAUGAAAUUAAUGAACUAACUUGGGAAUUAUUUAGAGAAUUAAUCUCCGCCAUGACAUUGUGUGAUUUUCAAAUAAUUUUGAGAGUCAAAGAUGGGAAUUGUAUCUUAGAAUCUAGAGAACCAGAAAGAAUCUACAGAUAGAAUCUACACAAAUAGAAAAAUUUGUCAGAUGUGAUUCACAUGUGACUGAUCUCCCGUUUAUUUCAAUCUCAUACUCCAGAUCGUUUUAAUAAAAGUUUCAUUCUUUCAGAUUUGUUUUUUUGUACGAAGAUGAUUUGACCAACUUAUCCGCUAGAAAAAACUUGAAUGAGACAAAAUCGAGAAUAUUGAAAUGUUAAUGAAAGAAUAAAAAAUUAGAGAUCACCCAUCGCAAUAGACAAUAAACCAAAUGAAAUUUCUCUCUUUUACAAGCGCCAAUAUCGUUUUUGCGGCUUACGAUUGCAAAUUGAAACGAAGCCAAAACGAGUUAUAAGGGGAUGGAAAAGGAAGAAGAUAGGUUGGAAGAGAGUGGUAUUCGUAAACAAGAAGGAGAGAAAUUGCGAUAAAAAGAGGAGAACACACAGACACAUUGAUCCUGUUACAGGAGGAACAAUUUCGUGUUCGAACGUAUACGCGAUGGAUAUUGAAAAAUGAUAGGGACGACUAAGGGAAAUGAAAAAUGAUAUGUAUCCGUGGGAGUUACUUGCCAACAUCUCUGCACUGAUCUUUCUCGAGAAGGUUGCACUGUACUACCCAUCGUCUCGCGAUAAGAGCAAGUUCGUCAUCCCACAUCUGUCAAAACAAAUAUUCCCAUUAGAUACGAACACGAGUGAUUAUUUUUAUAGAAAAUCCAUUAACUUUUAUAUGAUGUUUCAUUUUUACUAAUAGUAAUGUGACAUUAGUUGAAAUGAAUACGAAUAUAUUUUAUAUGGAAUAAUAAUUUUUUAACAAACACUAUAGAAAUAAUUGCUCAAUAAUAUUUUAUGAAUUUGAGUUUAGAUUGAUCAGUUUAAUAAUCAAAGAAUAUUUAAAAUAACGGCAUAAAGAUAUACAUAUAUAUUUAGAUAAAAGUAAAUAUUGUAUUGAACAAAAGCAGAAACAAAAGAGAUUUAUGAAAUAAGAAUCAGAAAUAGCUGGAUUUACAUUUAUAAACAUGUAGGAGAGUUGAUAUUUUUUUUAGAUAAUUCAAUUUCUGAAUAAUUGUUCAUUUUUAUUCUUUUCUUUUAUUUUUUUUUUAUGGCAUUAUGGCUUAAUCUAAAUUAAAUCUUACCACUUCCAUCAUAAAUUUUGCUGGACGUUGUGGACCUGGAUUUCCUCGUAUUUCUUUUCCACUUGCCACAGUAUUGCGAUAAGUAUUGUGCCAAUGGAGUAUAGUUUCAAUAUCUUUGUCGUCCAGAUCAGCAUGCUGGAGGUUUAUACAUCUAAUGCCAUCAGUAUCGAGCUAAGAAAAUGACGUAUUAGAUGUCUAUUGAAAUUUUGUUAGUAAUUCAACAUUAGUAGGAAUAAUAAUUAUUUUAAUAAUAUA
rnacentral:lncRNA from 1 species